UUUCAGCAAAAAGAAUCAGUUUCAACGAACAUAAACAACAGGGGCAUCCUGGGUAAAUCAGCUAGGAGCAGCCUAGAAAAAUGUGACAGUCUCACACUACAGCAGCAUGCCUAAUGCAAGACACCAGAAUAAUGAUUGGAGCGUUAAAGCCCCUACUCUUUGGAUUUUUAUUGGUUUUCAUGUAUGUCCUUUGCUCAGGUAUUUACAUGUCCGAUUUGUUUCUACUAGGUGGUAUUCAUUUUUUUAGUCUCGUCAAUUUUACAAUUUUUGUGAAAAGGCGUAUGUUUCGCUUUUCAGUUUGAUCCCCAACAAUAUAUUGUAGGGUGAAGAAGUGCUUAUGUAUAUGUUCCAACAAAAUGUGUGGCAAAAUCACUGGAAUUAUGGUGUUAUGAGCUAGAAGAUUUUGAAAGCGUACCAAUUAAGAAAUUACACAUAUUUAUACCUCAGACGGGGAAGCAUGUGUUUGAUCUUUGCUAUUGAGACUCAAUAUUUGCUACUAGAUGUCUGAAACAUGUAUUAUUAGAAGCAAAAUAUUUACAAGGAUUACAUGUAUGCAAUUUUUAUGGGGCUAUCUAAUGUUUGAUAUCCAGGCCUCUAAUUAUUUGUA